rnacentral:rRNA from 1 species
UGCUGGAGGUAUCAGAAGUGCGAAUGCUGACAUAAGUAACGAUAAAGCGGGUGAAAAGCCCGCUCGCCGGAAGACCAAGGGUUCCUGUCCAACGUUAAUCGGGGCAGGGUGAGUCGACCCCUAAGGCGAGGCCGAAAGGCGUAGUCGAUGGGAAACAGGUUAAUAUUCCUGUACUUGGUGUUACUGCGAAGGGGGGACGGAGAAGGCUAUGUUAGCCGGGCGACGGUUGUCCCGGUUUAAGCAUGUAGGCUGGUUAUCCAGGCAAAUCCGGAUAAUCAAGGCUGAGGUGUGAUGACGAGGCACUACGGUGCUGAAGUAACAAAUGCCCUGCUUCCAGGAA